UACGAAGGGUGCAAGCGUUACUCGGAAUUACUGGGCGUAAAGAGCGUGUAGGCGGCCAGAUAGGUCUGCUGUGAAAACUCGAGGCUCAACCUCGAGAUGUCGGCGGAAACCAUUUGGCUAGAGUCCGGAAGAGGAAAGUGGAAUUCCUGGUGUAGCGGUGAAAUGCGCAGAUAUCAGGAAGAACACCCGUGGCGAAGGCGGCUUUCUGGGACGGUACUGACGCUGAGACGCGAAAGCGUGGGGAGCGAACAGG
rnacentral:rRNA from 1 species